AACGAUUAGUCACCGGUCAUCGUCGUACAUACUAGAUCUACAUCGUCAACGUUGUCACUGUUGUACUUCAUGAGGCGGUCUAAAUGAACAAUUUUUAUUUUCGUCUGCGGUCCCCAUUGAAUCCUGUAAACGAACUUACAUUCUUCGUAGGUUAUAAAUCUUGUGGCGCACCAUUUCGUCAACGGUCAACAGCUACUCCUUCAAGUUAUCGACACAAUAUGUGGCCUCUUUUGGUGUUCAGCCACCACCUUCAAAAGAUAUUUUCCAUGGUAUGCUUGAAUCCUUCUACCAUUUUAUAUGACUGGAAGUGCAAUGGCGUAGUUCGUGUCUUCCGUAUUCCAAGUAACUCAGUGAUUCUGUUGAAUAGUGAAUAGAAAUGUGACUCGAAGUUUCUGCCUUGAUCCGAAUGCAAUUCCAUUGGGACACCAUACCUGCAGUUAUAAUUGUCAACCAGCACGCUAGCAACUGUAUGGCAUAAGCUUCAGGCUAUUUGCUGAAAUAAUCACUGACGAAAUUUAACUUACAAAUCUCAGGUUAAUUAUUAAUUAGUUUGCUUACGAAAAUUGAUGGGAGUAUUUUAAAAUAAUUGGUGAAUGCGGUUUUUUUCAAAGUAGUAAAUAAUUGGUGAAUGCAGUUUUUUUCAAAGUAGCAACAGGUGGAUACUGUUUUAAAUUAUUUUUAUUCUAAAAUAUAUUACUUAUAAUCGAAAAUAAAUUUGUCAAACUUAAAUUGAGGGUCAAAUCUCCUUUUAAUCGGUAUUUUCUACACGAAGGAAUGAAAGCAGAUUUCAAAACUCAUUUGUUUUAAUGAUAAAAAAACUUAAUGCUGGAAAGCACCUUGACUUCUUGAAGUCAGUUAUAAUUACAAAUUAAUUUGUUAAUAACAUAAAGCAUGUGUUCGGCUGGGAAUGAAAUCCGCCCGUGAGUGUAUGUUACUAUUUCUUCCGUUUUAAGUAAAAUUUUUCGAUACAAUACACUGAAAAGUCCUUUUUUUUUCAAUUUUAUCAGAAAAAUCUUAGCGCUUAAAGCAAAAUUACUAUAUUAUCCAACCAAAUAUAGUGAAAUAUAAAUCAGUAAAAAUACAACAAUCAAAACUAAGGAGUAAAAAAAAUUCAUGUUAUAAAACGUUUAAUAGAAAAUUGGUGUUAACGUGACAAGGAUUCCAACCAGUCAUGAAGUUUUCUAAUAUAAAUUGUGUCUUAACCUCGAGAGAAAAGAAACCUUCUCUCGGAUCCAGUAUUAAAACUACUUUCAUUCAAAGAACAGCAGUAGGUGCGGAUGGAGAUUAUAAUAACAAUUAUCGCCACUAUUACUUGUGUGUUUUGCAGUCUGACAUUUUCAGUUCCAGUGAAAGAUCUGUAUUCAAGUUACUUAAAGCAAGAAAAUGUUCCGACAAUUGAUUACAAAUAUGUUGUUAAAGAAAUGUUUCCUCAACAAGAAAGUUGGUGGAAACGUGGAACACAUCAUUUUUAUAUAAAUAACCAAUCUGAAUUUGAGAUAAUUGAUGCAUAAGUAAUAAUUUAUUUUUUAAUUUAAAUGUACAUACCAUAUUUAUGUUAAAUGAAACUAAAACAAAAUUCUGUUUACAUACAAUUUUUGUAAAAACAUGACACUAAACUACCUACCUUAAAAAUCCCGGUAUAUACUUCCUUCAUAAUUUAUAAUUUAUUUUAAAUUGAUAGGCUUCUUCAGUAGAUUAUGUAUGCAGUAUAAGUUUGAUACCUACCUAUAUCAUCCUUUCAAUAAGUGUAACGUUUUGUAUGAAUUUUUUUUUUGAAGACUGGGAAACAGAAAAGGUUUUCA